UACGUAGGAUGCAAGCGUUGUCCGGACUUAUUGGGCGUAAAGAGAACGUAGGUGGUUUCUUAAGUUUGGUCUUAAAGACCGGGGCUCAACCCCGGGAAUGGAUCGAAUACUGGGAGACUAGAGGAUGUUAGAGGAAAGUGGAAUUCCAAGUGUAGCGGUGAAAUGCGUAGAUAUUUGGAGGAACACCAGUGGCGAAAGCGGCUUUCUGGGACAUUCCUGACACUGAGGUUCGAAAGCUCGGGGAGCAAACAGG
rnacentral:rRNA from 1 species